rnacentral:rRNA from 1 species
CUGCGAGUGAAGCGGGAAAAGCUCAAAUUUAAAAUCUGGCGUGCCUUUGGCCGUCCGAGUUGUAGUCUGGAGAAGUGUUUUCUGUGCCGGACCGUGUACAAGUCCCUUGGAACAGGGCUUCAUAGAGGGUGAGAAUCCCGUCUUUGACACGGACUACCGGUGCUCUGUGAUGCGCUCUCAACGAGUCGAGUUGUUUGGGAAUGCAGCUCAAAAUGGGUGGUAAAUUCCAUCUAAAGCUAAAUAUAGGCGAGAGACCGAUAGCGAACAAGUACCGUGAGGGAAAGAUGAAAAGCACUUUGGAAAGAGAGUUAAACAGUACGUGAAAUUGCUGAAAGGGAAACGCUUGAAGUCAGUCAUGUCUGCCAGGACUCAGCCUUGCAGUUUUGCUUGGUGCACUUUCUGGUUGACGGGCCAGCGUCGAUUUUGACCGUUGGAGAAAGGUGGAGGAAAUGUGGCACCUUUCGAGGUGUGUUAUAGUCCUCUGCCGUAUGUGACGGUUGGGAUCGAGGACCGCAGCACGCCUUUAUGGCCGGGGGUCACACCCACGUUACGUGCUUAGGAUGCUGGCUUAAUGGCUUUAAGCGACCCGUCUUGAAACACGGACCAAGGAGUCUAACUUGCCUGCGAGUGUUUGGGUGGAAAACCCAAGCGCGCAAUGAAAGUGAUAGUUGAGACCUCUGUCAUGGAGGGCAUCGACGCCCGGACUUGAUCUACGGAGACGGUUCUGCGGUAGAGCAUGCAUGUUGGGACCCGAAAGAUGGUGAACUAUGCCUG